UACGUAGGGUGCAAGCGUUGUCCGGAAUUAUUGGGCGUAAAGGGCGCGUAGGCGGCUUGGCAAGUGGAUGGUGAAAUCCCUCGGCUUAACCGAGGAACUGCCGUCCAAACUGCUUUGCUUGAGACCGGGAGAGGUGAGUGGAAUUCCUGGUGUAGCGGUGAAAUGCGCAGAUAUCAGGAAGAACACCCGUGGCUAAGGCGGCUCUCUAGUACGGUACUGACGCUGAGACGCGAAAGCGUGGGGAGCGAACAGG
rnacentral:rRNA from 1 species